rnacentral:lncRNA from 1 species
CCCUUUUGGCUGGGGGUCCCCACUCCACACCAUGAGUGUCUCCACCCCCUUGCAGCUGUCUUAAAUAUGUCUGAGAAGGGGUAAUGUGUGCUCCUCCGAUGGCAUGCAAUCUUUUUUUUUUUUUUUUUUUUUCCCCUCCCCACAGUUAUUUUUAUCUGCUUUGUGGCAGGCUGAAGCCAAUUUCAACUGGCAUAUGGCAGUUCACAGUGUCCUCCCACACAGGUCACCAUUGCAGCCCCUGUUACUUAGAGCCUACGGUAUAUGCCCAUUACAGGGAUACAGAAAUGACCAGCUGAUUUGGAGAGAUGUGGAGUCUGAUCUGUCAGUCCACAGUGCAACAACAAAUGUGAAGGACAGGAGUGUGAAACUGCUUCAGAACCUCUUUCCAAGAUGGCUUAUACAUUUGCUACCAUAAUGGUUCUGUUCAGUGUGUCUAAUGAAGGUAAGGUCACCAGCUCAUUCAACGUAAACAUAAAUAAAUAAAUAAAGACACUGUAAAAACUAGUAAGU